rnacentral:rRNA from 1 species
AGCGAACGCUGGCGGCAGGCCUAACACAUGCAAGUCGAACGAAGUCUUCGGACUUAGUGGCGGACGGGUGAGUAACACGUGGGAACGUGCCUUUAGGUUCGGAAUAACUCAGGGAAACUUGUGCUAAUACCGAAUGUGCCCUUCGGGGGAAAGAUUUAUCGCCCUUAGAGCGGCCCGCGUCUGAUUAGCUAGUUGGUGAGGUAAAGGCUCACCAAGGCUACGAUCAGUAGCUGGUCUGAGAGGAUGACCAGCCACAUUGGGACUGAGACACGGGCCAAACUCCUACGGGAGGCAGCAGUGGGGAAUCUUGCGCAAUGGGCGAAAGCCUGACGCAGCCACGCCGCGUGGAUGAUGAAGGUCUUAGGAUUGUAAAAUCCUUUCACCGGUGAAGAUAAUGACUGUAGCCGGAGAAGAAGCCCCGGCUAACUUCGUGCCAGCCGCCGCGGUAAAAC